AUGAGGCAUUUGGCAGCAAACUUUUACUCCAAAUUCAAAAACAAGGAUUGGUUCAAGUUAUUCAAGAGGAUGUGCAUGCAAAAAACUAAAUCCAAAAUGAAUGCGAUAUGGGCAGGUAUCAAUGGUGAGAUCGACCGCGCGGCCUUGCCGCAGAGAGAAGACUGGAGGGGUCGUAGGACGGCCAUAAAUUUGAGCCAGUGGAUCACCGAGAAUUGCCCUCAUUUGGAGAAGUGGGCGCAGGCUCACGACACCGGGGCUCGGUAUGGAAUAAUGACCAGCAACAUGUCAGAGGUGUACAAUGGUGUUCUUAAAGGGGUGCGAGCACUGCCUAUCACAGCCCUAAUUGAAGAAACUUGGAACCGGACCCUGUCAUACUUUGCAGACAGGGUCACCGUCGCCAAAGAACAAGUUGAAUUGAACAAGCCAUGGUCCGAGAAGAUGCAAAGACAUCUGGACGAGAAAGCAAAGAAGUCCCAAAGUCAUGGCUGCAGGAAAGUGGACGCACUUAGGAAUAAGUGGGAGGUCAAUGUGCGAGCCAAGUACGUUAAGGGUCACCACAGAGGAUCAAAAAAGCAAGCUGUCACCCUUGGCUCAACCUCCUGUGAGUGCACUUGUAACAAGCCCAAGCUUGAGGGCUACCCUUGCAGUCAUGUGCUCCGGGCGGCUGCUGUUCAAAAAAUCAGCGUCGAGCCAUACAUAUCGCCGUACUUCAACAUGUACAAUCUGUACAACACUUGGAACGGUGAGUUCUGGGCUUGGGGCAUUGAUAUGAACUACAAAAUGUUGUGGCCAGAUGGGCCGAAAUGGGUUCCGAACACCGACUUGAUGAGAACCGCAAAGGGACGACGUCAGUCUAGGCGUCAUCGCAAUGACAUGGACCAUAGCCAGAUGGGAGAACCAAGGCGAUGCCGCGUUUGCAGGUGUCCUGGACAUUCACGCAAAGACUGCCCGUAUCGAGCCAACAACAACGCAUGA
rnacentral:rRNA from 1 species